GACGGACGUUGGCGGCGUGCUUAAUACAUGCAAGUCAACUGAAGCAGUGGUAGCAAUAUCGCUGUGGAGGUGGCGCACGGGUGAGUAACACGUAGGUAAUCUGCCUUCAGGUCUGGCAUAACUCCGGGAAACCGGGGCUAAUAGCAGAUGAUGCAGCGGCUCGACAUCGAGACAGUUGUUAAAGCUAUGGCGCCUGAAGAUGAGCCUGCGUCUGAUUAGCUAGUUGGCGGGGUAACGGCCCACCAAGGCAACGAUCAGUAGCUGGUCUGAGAGGAUGAUCAGCCACACUGGAACUGAGACACGGUCCAGACUCCUACGGGAGGCAGCAGUAAGGAAUAUUGCUCAAUGGGAGAAAUCCUGAAGCAGCAACGCCGCGUGAGGGACGAAGGGCUUUUGCUUGUAAACCUCUGUAGUGAGAGAAAAAAAUCCCAAUCUUUGGGACAUGAUGGUAUCUCAAAAGUAAGCCCCGGCUAACUACGUG
rnacentral:rRNA from 1 species